UUGUAAGAAUAAAAUCAUAUUGGGCCGUACGUAAAACUUUUUGGCCCUUGCAAAAGUAUGUUGGGCCUUGUACAAUUGUCUUGAUCCAAUAAGGAAAAAGAUAAACCCUAAACACUCUAACCUUCUUUCUUCUCCUCUGCCAUAUGAAAUUGUUGCGAUUUCCUUUCUCCAUCUUCUCACCUUCGCUUCUCCUUGCUUCUCUUCUCACCUCUAAGCUUCUGUUUGCCUCCAUCAAUCGACGCCAAGUGACGAUCGAGUUCUUCUCAACUACCGCAUCGCAGGUUCAUCAUCUUCUCACCUCUUAUCACCCUCUUAGAGCAACUCCAUCCAAGAGAACUUAGAAUGAGUUCUCUUCAAUAUUUUUAUUAAUAAUUUUGAAAAUUUGUUUAAUUUAUGUCUCUCCAGUGGUUGAGUUCUCAAAUUGGGGUUCUUUUAAAAAAUUUUAAAGAAAAGAUAGAGAGACUGAGAGAAAUUGAGACAGAGAGUUUGAUGAAUGAAAAGAAUCGUGUUUCCUCCCGUAAGAUGUGAAUGGUUGUUCAAGAAAAGAUAGAGAAAUUGAGAGAAAUUGAGACAGAGAGUUUCGUUGGACACAGAGAGAUUGAGAGGAGAGAGGAGAGAGGAGAGGAGAUUGAGAGGAGAGAGAGAGAGAAAUAGUGAUUUCGUUGGACACUGAAAAUAGUGUUUUUUUUUUCUUUUUUCAUAAAAUUUCAACCAAUCACAUACGAACGAGCACAUCAUCGGUUCUCUGAAGCUCUGUAAAAUCUCAAUACAGAGCCGGUUCUCUCAUGAUUAAUGAUUUUUGAUUUUUCUUUUUGCUUUUUAAUCUACAGAUACUCAUAAGAGAACCCCUGUUGGAGUUGGUAUUAGUCUCCUCUUCUUCUUUUUAUUUUGCAUGCUUAUAAGUUCUAACUUUUCUUCUCUUAUUCUUUGUAUGUAAAUGCAAGCGGUUCCAAGUUUCCUCUACAAUCUAUCGCAUUCAUCACAGUAACGACCAACUCAAAGCAGCUUUCCAAAUGUCAAACCGGAACCAAUCGAGCCAAAGAAUGAGAGAAGAGUUCUCUUGGACUCCUGUACCACCUCUCCAUUUAUCACUAACCGGGUAGCCGCCAAGAAUUUCUACAAAACAUUGCAGACCAGUAACGUGGAUAUGAUUUUACUAGUCCUAGCUACUCCUUGGAUGACUUACCGAGGGUUCAGCGACAAGCACGCUUUCAGCCCACAGCAAAUAGGAGUGGAAGACUUGAAUCUAAUUCACCAGAGCCUACAAGCGAAGAAUCUGUAGAGCCUAUUUUAGUGGAUGUGACUGACCUAUUGCGAGCUCCUGGACGGUCUCACCUCCCAGUCCUAUAUCCAGACCGUGAAGGAAUCCUGUCCAUGAACCUUACGCUUGAAAUAUUUUAUUGGCUGUUAACAAAAGUUUAUUAUAAUUUGCUGCUCACAUUACAGGUUUAGACGUGAUCCAACAGGGAAGAUUACAAAGCAGCUUCUAAAGAUGCUUAAAUCUGAUCUCCCUGGUCUAUAUCCCAUUUAUCGUACUUUACCACUAGAUGGUUUAGAGUUUUUGCGGUUAAUAGCUUAUUCAUUUCCUUCAUGUUUAAAGUCAUUUAGAAAGAUAAGUAUGUAAGUACUAACUCAUUGUUUAUUGUACAACAAGAGUUCCACUGGGACGUGAGCAUAAAUGAGCAUGUCCAGACAUAAUACAUGAAGCAAGUAGAAAAUUCUUUUAAAUCCAACUUGCGUGAAUGGAAGAAAACUUGGAAGAAGAAAGGUGCUGAUGGUUUACCGGCAUGGAUGAAGGCGAGGAAACGUUUGUUUGAUGGUUACAUCAAGAUGUGGACAGAUUUGGAAAUGGUCAACGAAGCUACCAAAAACAAUAAGAACUGAGGCAGUCAAAGGGGUGGAUUACGUGUUGCUAAACACAACAACGGUGCAAAAACAUUUGAACAACGUUGGGAUGAAUUGAAAAGUGAGUUAGGAGGGGAGCCUAAUUUCCUUCACUUUAUGGAACAAACUCACUUAGAUAAGAAGAGACGCACAAUAAGUGACUUAAAGACAAAACAAUUUAUCGAGAAGGCUACAAGUGAGUUGAAGCUUCUCCAAUCACAACGCCAAACCCGAAGGAGAUGACUUGGUUCAGUCUAACCCUCUUGCACCAGAGGAGAUUAACUCUUUUGUGCGUAAAUUGUUCCAAAGGUGAGAGGAAGACGCUAUGGACUUGGUACUCUUUUGGAUGAAGGAUGCUCGUCUUCUCAGUUCAAUUACCCCAGUGCAAUGCAGUGCAAAGGGCUAAAUGGAUCCAAAUGGGGUGUGAUGCAAACAAGACGGAUGCGACAGAACUAACAAGUCAAGCCAAGUCUGAUAAGGGGUUUAUACUAACAAACCUAACAAGAUGAUACUAAGCAAGCAGUAAUAAGAAACUAAAAGCAGAAACUAGAUUACUAAAGACAAGCUAAGCAUGCAAGAGCUACAGAAACAUAAUUAAAGCAGAAAUGGAAAGCAAGUAAACAAUUAGAUGAA